AAGAAUUUGGAGGGAUAGACUUUUCUUCGAAAAAAAUAAAAUCAAAACUCCUCGAAAUUGAGAAGAUUUGAGGGGAAAGGAAUAGAAAGCAAUCAAAAGACAAAAUUAGCCUUCCAAAUUCUAUACACAAAAUUAGGGCGCAGCAGCGUCUCCAUCUCCUCUUCUCUCGCGUCUCCGGCUUCGGCUCUUUAACACGGCUCAAAGAAGAAACGCUAACCCUAGGUCUGGAAUCCUCCAUUGGAGACGCGAAGGUGUGCUAGGCGAUUUGCAGACUGCCGUUGCUGCUAGAAUCAAUAUACGAAUUGAUCAUGUGAAAGAGCAGCUCGCCACUUUUAGAUUUCAGUUGGAAGACUUCUCUUUUGCAAAUAUAAGAUGAACAAGAAAUUGCAACAGUUGAAAGCACCAAAGAAGAAGCAACUUCAAGCUACAAAACUCAGUGUCGAGGGUCGUGGCAUGGUCAAGUAUUUAUAGUCAUUUCCAUUCAAUGACCGAGUUUGAAGAGCCCAUCUUAUGGGCUUAUAGUUUGUACUGCUAUUGCACUGGGCUGAAGAACGAGAUUAUCACUAGACUGCCUUGUCCGAAGAUCACUCAAUUAGUUAUGAAUGGAAGCUUCUAGGAUGAAUGGGCAGGUUGGGCGAUGUUGUUGCUUCGAGAGUUGGUGUCUUGGAGGUUAGGUGGCUAUGUUCUGUAUGUAAUUCAACAAUUUCAGUAUGUUAUGAAUAUCUAACAUCCAGAUGAUGCUAAUUUUUCCAGGUCAAGUGUAACAAUACAUUUUUUUAAUAAGAGUGAAUUAGCUUUGUUUAUGAA